rfam:Triticum urartu cultivar G1812 contig507729, whole genome shotgun sequence.
GAGUUACUCCCUCUAUUCCGAAUUACUCGUCACAGAAAUGGAUGUAUCUAGAUGUAUUUUAGUUCUAGAUACAUCCAUUUCUACGACGAGUAAUUUGGAACAGAGGGAGUACUUG